AUUGAACGCUGGCGGCAGGCCUAACACAUGCAAGUCGAGCGGAUGAAGGGAGCUUGCUCCUGGAUUCAGCGGCGGACGGGUGAGUAAUGCCUAGGAAUCUGCCUGGUAGUGGGGGAUAACGUCCGGAAACGGGCGCUAAUACCGCAUACGUCCUGAGGGAGAAAGUGGGGGAUCUUCGGACCUCACGCUAUCAGAUGAGCCUAGGUCGGAUUAGCUAGUUGGUGGGGUAACGGCCUACCCAGGCGACGAUCCGUAACUGGUCUGAGAGGAUGAUCAGACACACUGGCACUGAGACACGGUCCAGACUCCUACGGGAGGCCGCAGUCGGGAAUAUUGGGCGAUGCGCGAGAGCGUAAUCCAGCCCUGCCGCGUGUGUGAAGAAGGUCUUCGGAUUGUAAAGCACUUCAAGUUGGGAGGAAGGGCAGUAAGUUAAUCCCUUGCUGUUUUGACGUUACCAACAGAAUAAGCACCGGCUAACUUCGUG
rnacentral:rRNA from 1 species